CCUACGGGAGGCUGCAGUCGAGAAUCAUUCACAAUGGGGGAAACCCUGAUGGUGCGACGCCGCGUGGGGGAAUGAAGGUCUUCGGAUUGUAAACCCCUGUCAUGUGGGAGCAAAUUAAAAAGAUAGUACCACAAGAGGAAGAGACGGCUAACUCUGUGCCAGCAGCCGCGGUAAUACAGAGGUGUCAAGCGUUGGUCGGAAUCACUGGGCGUAAAGCGUGCGUAGGCGGUUUCGUAAGUCGUGUGUGAAAGGCGCGGGCUCAACCCGCGGACGGCACAUGAUACUGGGAGACUAGAGUAAGGGAGGGGGAACUGGAAUGCUCGGUGUAGGAGUGAAAUGCGUAGAUAUCGAGAGGAACACUCGUGGCGAAGGCGGGUUCCUGGACAUUAACUGACGCUGAGGCACGAAGGCCAGGGGAGCGAAAGGGAUUAGAUACCCCAGUAGUC
rnacentral:rRNA from 1 species